rnacentral:misc_RNA from 1 species
GAGUUCAUGCCCUUCGGGGUAGAUCUCCCACCCCUUGUAUACCAUACCUCUGUUGCUUUGGCGGGCCGCCUAGCUACUGGCUUCGGCUGGUAAGUGCCCGCCAGAGGACCCAAAACCCUGAAUAUUAGUGUCGUCUGAGUAAAAUUUUAAUAUUUAAAACUUUCAGCAAUGGAUCUCUUGGCUCU